UUUAGCCCUGCUAGUCUACCCGGGCUUGCCCGGGGCAGACAGCUGAGUAACAUGUGGCUAACCUACCCUAUGGACAGGAAUAACCUCGCUAACGUGAGGCUAAUACCUGAUAUCAGAGGAAAACAGGAAAGUUUUCUCUGUGAAAUGUUUCGACGCCAUAGGAUGGGGCCGCAGCUGAUUAGGUUGUUGGUGAGGUAAAGGCUCACCAAGCCGAUAAUCAGUAGUAGUCGUGAGAGCGAGAGCUACCAGUUGGCUUCUGAGACAAGAAGCCAGACCCUACGGGGUGCAGCAGGCACGAAACCUUCACAAUGCACGGAAGUGCGAUGGGGGGACUCCGAGUGUAAUCUUCCUACAAGGAAGGUUACUUUUCUGCACUGUAAGGAGGUGCCGGAACAAGGGGUGGGCAACACUGCUGCCAGCCGCCGCGGUAAUAGCAGGACCCCAAGUGGUAGCCAGUAUUAUUGGGCUUAAAGUGUUCGUAGCCGGCCAUGCAAGUCCGCUGUGAAAUCCACAUGCUUAACAUGUGGGCGUGCAGCGGAUACUGCAUUGGCUAGGGACCGGACGGCGUCGAGGCUAUUCCCGGAGUAGGAGUGAAAUCCUAAAAUUCCGGGAGGAGCACCUGUGGAGAAAUCGCUCGACGAGUACGGAUCCGACGGUGAGGAACGAAAGCCAGGGGGGCAAAGCGGAUUAGAUACCCGCGUAGUCCUGGCUGUAAACAAUGUGCGUUUGAUGUCGGCUAACCUCCGAGGUUAGC
rnacentral:rRNA from 1 species